CAGGUUGAUAGAAAGCACAGACCAAGUUUCUGCAAAUGACACAUCUGUUGGGCUGGUGCUUGCUGAUCUAAAGACUCUCCAACUUUCCUUCGUCCGAAUGCUUCCACUGGUUUGCAAGAGGUGCAGGAUGGUCCGUUCACUUAUGAAAGGUCAAAGGCAUCGCUGACCAGCAUUUAUUGCCAGCCCAAAGAGUGGUUAAGAAGCAAUUAAGAUGUGGGUCUGGAGUCACAUGUAGGCCAGACCAGGAUGUGUGUAUCACAGGCUUGGCCAGCAUUGAAUAUUUCCCAUUAAGUGCCCAGAGGGUAACUAAGGGUCAACUAUGUUGGUAUUGUUCUGGAAUCAUAUGCAGGCCAGGCCAGGAACGGAAGGCAGAUUUCCUUCCCUAAAGGAGGUCUGGGAAGAUGGAUUGUGCAGAAGUGGGAGAAUUACCGUACCAAUCACUCAGGAUCAUGGGUGUGGAAUCUGUGCACCCCCAUCCUAACCCCCAAAUUCAGGCUAGGCCUGAUGCACUGUGCUGCUAGUAUCAAUUUGCCCUCCUACCUCCUGACAGUCAACCCAAAUGCAAAAUCAAGGCCGGCCUAAUGUCAGAAAGGAAAAGAUACAGCCAAAAAGUGACUGUGAAUGUAAAUUCAGUGAGUGACUGGAGAGGAAUUUUGAAAUGUCAUGCCUGCCUGGGGUCAGGAAACCUUCAAACAAAAAGACUGAACAAUAAAAGGUAAAGUGCUAUUGCUCUACUGGACCGUACAUCUGUUCUGAUGUUACAGCAAGACGACUGGUGAUGGUUUACCCUGAAGGUCAUAUUAUGGAACAGACCAGACUCCCCCAAAAUAUUUUAAGAAGACAGCCUAAACCAUAACGUAUUCUUACUUUAAAGGUUGAUGUGA